UACGUAGGGUGCGAGCGUUAAUCGGAAUUACUGGGCGUAAAGCGUGCGCAGGCGGUUUUGUAAGCCAGACGUGAAAUCCCCGGGCUUAACCUGGGAAUGGCAUUUGGGACUGCAAGGCUCGAGUGCGGCAGAGGAGACUGGAAUUCCUGGUGUAGCAGUGAAAUGCGUAGAUAUCAGGAGGAACACCAGUGGCGAAGGCGGCUACCUGGACCGGUUCUGACGCUGAGGCGCGAAAGCGUGGGGAGCGAACCGG
rnacentral:rRNA from 1 species